GACAGAGGGUGCAAACGUUGUUCGGAAUUACUGGGCGUAAAGCGAGUGUAGGCGGUCUGCUAAGUCGGGUGUGAAAGCCCUGGGCUCAACCCAGGAAGUGCACUCGAAACUGGCAGGCUAGAGUACUGGAGAGGUUGGUGGAAUUCUCGGUGUAGAGGUGAAAUUCGUAGAUAUCGAGAGGAACACCGGUGGCGAAGGCGGCCAACUGGACAGAUACUGACGC
rnacentral:rRNA from 1 species